CUCGCCAUCCAGCCCCGGUCCCUUUCCAAAAUCGCCGACGAGCGGCGAAGCCGCGGGCAGGCCGGGAAUGACUCACGCAGCAACGGGAGCAACAGAGGCAAACAGGCGCACGCAGCCGCACGCCUGCGCGUGCUCGUUAUGAAUGAUUAAUCCGGCGCUGAUGAGUCACCGACAGGGAAGGGAAGGGAAGAGGGGGGGGGGGGGGGGAGGGGAAGGGGGGGGGCGGGGCGCAGCGCUGCUCGGGGUGGGAGCCCCGCAGCCCCUUCCCCGUCCCUGGGAGGGUGUCAGGGCAGCCAAAGCCCCCGGGGGCUCUCCGUGCACCCAGCGGCACCCUUGGGUGCAUGGUGCAGCGGGGAACGGGGGGGUCCCCACACAGCCGCCCCCUUCUCCACGCACACGGGGGGCAGCGAGGGCCACGGGGGACCCAGCCCAGCGCCCCCCGGGACCCGGCACCGCUCUCGGGGGCUGUGGGCAUGGAUGGGGACAGCAGCAGGGGGGCCGGGGGGCCCCCGGGACGCCCACGGCCUCGCUGCCGAAGGCGGGGUCUGGGUGCGGCGGUGGCCAAGCCGCGGGGCAGUGUGGGAUGGAAGCCGCCACCGUCCGCUCCCCACCUCGGUGCCGGCUUAAAAAAAGCCACCCCGGGGGCAGGAGGGUAGAGUUUUCCCCCCCCUCAGGAUGCCUCCGUAUUGGGGAGGGGGCUCCAAGCUCCGGAGCAUCCCCUGGGAUCGGGGCUGCUCGGCCUCACGUGGGAAAGCGCAGCCGCGGGGACGGCACCGAGGGGCCGGCUUGGGCAAGAGCGAAAAUCACAGCCAAGGGUCACCGGCGCCGCCGUCCCCUUGCUCCUGGUGUCCCACGGGGAUCCCCGGCUGCCCCUUUUUGGGGUUGGGGCAGCAGGGGGGGCACGGGGGCUGCUCAGGACGCAGCCCUCCUCGGGGGGCUCCGGCUGCCUCGCACGCUUGCUCCACGUUUGCUCCCCUUUGGGGCCAGGACGGGGCACCCCCAAAAAUCCACUCAGGGCACAGAUGUCCCCAAGCACGGAGCCACACGGCCUCGCCACCGCCAAAACGAGACAUCCCCUAACAAGGGGGGGACAGGCAGGGCUGCAGCCCCCCCCCCGGUGACUCGGAGGGCAGGAGGCACUCACAGCCCUGCAAUCGCAGCCCCGUUGCCGCCCCCAAAAGCUCUUUGGCCUGCAAAAAGCGUCGCUGCUCCAAGGGCUGCACGGGGCACCCUG
rnacentral:lncRNA from 1 species